GCGGCUAUAGCUCAGUGUGGCGAGAGCAUCUGGCAGCUAACCAGAAGGGAGCUUCCGUUCGAUUCGGAAGGGCGGCCACCA
rnacentral:tRNA from 1 species